rnacentral:rRNA from 1 species
GACGAACGCUGGCGGCGUGCUUAACACAUGCGAGUCGAACGGAAAGGCCCCUUCGGGGGUACUCGAGUGGCGAACGGGUGAGUAACACGUGAGUAACCUGCCCUUGACUUCGGGAUAACUUCAGGAAACUGGGGCUAAUACCGGAUAGGAAUCCUUGCUGCAUGGUGGGGGUUGGAAAGCUUCGGCGGUUUUGGAUGGACUCGCGGCUUAUCAGCUUGUUGGUGGGGUAGUGGCUUACCAAGGCUUUGACGGGUAGCCGGCCUGAGAGGGCGACCGGCCACAUUGGGACUGAGAUACGGCCCAGACUCCUACGGGAGGCAGCAGUGGGGAAUAUUGCACAAUGGGCGGAAGCCUGAUGCAGCAACGCCGCGUGCGGGAUGACGGCCUUCGGGUUGUAAACCGCUUUCAGCAGGGGCGAAGCUUGUGGUGACGGUACCUGCAGAAGAAGCACCGGCUAACUACGUG